AGGAAAGGCCUUUCAGGCAUCCUCUCCUAAAACUUUCCGGGCUGACCUUCGGGUCGGCCCUUUUUUUGUUUGGGC
rnacentral:sRNA from 1 species